GACAUACCUGUAUUGGUUUUUUGACGUUAUUCAUUAAUACGGGGGGAGUCACCCAUGGUAAUGAGAUAUUUCAGGCGGACAUGCGCGCCCAUGAUGCGUGGGACCGUUGGUAAUGAAUUCUCAUGUCUGGCUUCUUCUGUUUCGUCUUUUAACUAGGUUCAAGUGAUUGGUGUUGUUAUUUCGCUCACGAUUUCUGGUUUUAUGGAGCUUAAUAACACCGAAUUUACAGAUGUCUGAAAGAUACAAACAAUCAUCAUGGUCCUCCACCGAAAAAAAUUCAAAAUUCACCAUUGGCAUCAUCGGUCUUUUUCUGGAACUGCUGGUCUUCCUCCAUUACAACACUUUCAUCGGAUGGACGAACCAUUUCCACAUAUUCAGGGUCCUUUGCAGGAUAUUGGGAUGCACCUGUCUCCUGUUGGAUGGAAAAGCGGAAUUUUUUGGAAUCGCUUACGUCAUCAUGACCUUAUCCUGGACAGUUGAGUGGAUAUAUCGGAAACUCGCAUCCAUUUAACAUAACCUGAAGUGUAUAAUUAUAAAUAACUAUAUUGUGAUAUUUACUAAUUUAUUGUAAAUAAUAGGUUAAUACAGUGUGGCCCAAUGACAAAUCUGUGUGUUUUCGAAUAAAAGUAAUAUUUUUUUUUACAAGCGA
rnacentral:misc_RNA from 1 species